UACGUAGGGUGCGAGCGUUAAUCGGAAUUACUGGGCGUAAGCGUGCGCAGGCGGUUUUGUAAGACAGAUGUGAAAUCCCCGGGCUCAACCUGGGAACUGCGUUUGUGACUGCAAGACUUGAGUGCGGCAGAGGGGGGGUAGAAUUCCACGUGUAGCAGUGAAAUGCGUAGAGAUGUGGAGGAAUACCGAUGGCGAAGGCAGCCCCCUGGGUCGACACUGACGCUCAUGCACGAAAGC
rnacentral:rRNA from 1 species